GAGCAUCCCCACGGCAGGAAGACGGGAACCCACGUCUUGGGGAAGCCGCCGCGUUGUGUUGCUUUAUGAAACACACAGCCGGUAGGGCGGGCGGCGUGUGCGUGAAUGGUCGCGGGGUCUGGCUAGUGUGUAGAAGGCAUAUUACUCCUGGGUAAUCACACGCUAUUUCCUCGGGGGUUAAGGAUUAAGGUCACCGAGGGCCGGGCUUCGAAACUGACGGGUCCCAGAGCCGCGGUCCAGGCGGGGACACGGGCUCUAGUCUGCAGGUCUGCACGGGGUGGACAAGCUGCCUUCCCUUGCAGCUUCCCCGGGGGCGGGGGUCCCCAGGAAGGGUGUGGCCUGGGGAGGACAGCACGGAGGCCACCUAGCUCCAUCCCGAGCAAGGCGAGGCCGUGACGUGCAGCCGCCGGCAGCGAUGGGCGAGCUCGCAACUCGUCCCUGCGGCAAAUGUUGACAGCUCCGAUCUGUCCACCUGGAAGCUGGAACCACUGAACCAAAGGGCAAAGGUGCAGCUUUAGGGCUCGUGCAUGGCGACCAUUCUGGAUCUUGUGAGCUUUCUGGUCCUCCUGAACUCAGCAUUCCGUGGACAAGCACAGCUGGCACAAGAGAAUAUAUCUCCUAUUACAAACAUGCAGCUAGAUCCAAGGAAAAGAAUGUUAACCUGGAAUUACAUAAGAAAUGUGAGUCAGCAAGAAUGCACUUAUAGCCCGCUGAACUCUUCCAUCAUGCCCAACUUUACCAUCAGGCAAAUCCCACGGGUAAGCAUUCAUGGCUCAUGCCUUAUGGCUUUACUCCUUGUAAAUCUUGAAUUCCUGUGAAAUGACUCUUGAGUCCCCUCCCUGCUCUUGAUUUCCACUCCUAUUUCUCUCAUCAGGGAAGAAAAAACAUUUCUUCUAUCCUCUUAUAUCUUGGGAUGGGGACAUGCAAAUUAAAGUGACAAAUGCCAGAUUUUUCAGGAGGAAAGACAUAUAGAUUUGUUCUUAGUUUAACUUUUUACAUACAUGAAGAUGCACAGAAGAGAAGUAAACACCCAAAGAAGUGGUCAGACUAGGGAGCUUUCCUGCCAUUUUUUAAAGAGGUGAGAAAUUGAGGAGAUUCCAUGACACAGGAAUGGGGAUUUCAGCUUCUGGGCCCAAUAAAUUGUGGGGACGUGACUAGGGAAUCAGUGGUUGAACUAAUGGCUGAUACAGGUUAUUUUAGUAAGGUCUGUCUGUGAAGUAUCUUCUCAGUGCUGGUGGCCCCUCUCCAGUGAUAAAGGUCACUCUCCUCUUCCUGGCACAGGACAGGGUGGGGGAACCCUUCACAAAGGGUUCUGUGCCCUGCUUUUAUGUAGAUAAGGAGGCUGAGAACUCCUCCUGUAUCUGUCCAUGCUCAGGUGCCACCAGCUCAAAAUGAUCCUUAUGCCAAAGUGGUCCAUUUGGGAUUGGGGCAAAUUCCAUAUAUAGGAUGGCCUCCUUCACUCUGCUUCUAUAUGGUGGGAGUAAAACUUACACACUAAAUCUCACAUAUGAGUGAGAAUAUAAUAGCUGUCUUUUCUGCGCCUGCCUUCAUUUUGAUUUCUCCCCUCCCAUGAGGGAGGAGGGGGAAAGAUGUGGACUUGCCCAUUAAAUGGACUCCACCCCCUUCACGUUAAAACAGGCCCCCUGGAUUCAGUCCAUGUCUUUGGGCUAUGUUUAUUCACUCAUCACCUAGUUCCCAUACUCCCUUAGUUUCAUUCUAAGGAUGUCAGGAAGGAAAAACUUUGUCAUCUACCCUCUUAGGUUCUGUCUCUGGAGGCCUGCAAAUUAACAUGACAAAAGAUAGAUGAACAAGAGGGAGAAAAAUGUAUUCCCAUGCAUACGGAGCUUAUAAAAAAAAAGUAGCUCAAUAAAUAGAUAAAGUUAAAGAUUUAUGUACCUAACCAGUAGGAAAAAGGGAGGAGAGAGUAAAGCUCACUAUGGGAAGAAGAAGCAGUUUUCCAGAAGAAAACAGGAGAUAAGAAAUUUUGUGAUAACUACUGGGUAUUUACCCCAAAGAUACAAAAGUAGGGAUCCUAAAGGGUACGUGCACCCCGAUGUUUAUAGCAGCAAUGUCCACAAUAGCCAAACUGUGGAAAGAGCCAAGAUGUCCAUCGACAGAUGAAUGGAUAAAGAAGAUGUGGUAUAUAUACAAUGGAAUAUUAUGCAGCCAUCAAAAGGAAUGAGAUCUUGCCAUUUGCAACGACGUGGAUGGAACUGGAGGGUAUUAUGUUGAGCGAAAUAAGUCAAACAGAGAAAGACACGUAUCAUAUGACCUCACUGAUAUGAGGAAUUCUUAAUUGCAGGAAACCAA